UUGCAUGAUGUGGAAACUUAGGGGAUAUGUGGGAGGCGUGUCUGAAGGCACGAGGGAUGUGCCAGGGCAGUAGACCCGAGAGAACAUGCGUGGUCACAUAUAACUCUAUUGGCUGAAGAAGUCACAUGGUAUACAGGGAUAUAAGGAGUGGGAAUUUUGAAAUAAAGUCUCUUUGUCCAC